AGCCUGACGGAGCAACGCCGCGUGAGGGAGGAAGGCCUUAGGGUUGUAAACCUCUUUUCUCUGGGAAGAAGAACUGACGGUACCAGAGGAAUAAGCAUCGGCUAACUCCGUGCCAGCAGCCGCGGUAAGACGGAGGAUGCAAGCGUUAUCCGGAAUUAUUGGGCGUAAAGCGUUCGUAGGUGGCUGUUCAAGUCUGCCGUUAAAGACCGGGGCUUAACUCCGGAAAAACUGUGGAAACUGAACAGCUAGAGUAUGGUAGGGGUAAGGGG
rnacentral:rRNA from 1 species